rnacentral:rRNA from 1 species
AUUGAACGCUGGCGGCAGGCUUAACACAUGCAAGUCGAGCGGAGAUGAGGUGCUUGCACCUUAUCUUAGCGGCGGACGGGUGAGUAAUGCUUAGGAAUCUGCCUAUUAGUGGGGGACAACGUUACGAAAGGAAUGCUAAUACCGCAUACGUCCUACGGGAGAAAGCAGGGGAUCUCCGGACAUUGCGCUAAUAGAUGAGCCUAAGUCGGAUUAGCUAGCUGGUGGGGUAAAGGCCUACCAAGGGGACGAGCUGUAGCGGGCCUGAGAGGAUGAUCCGCCACACUGGGACUGAGACACGGCCCAGACUCCUACGGGAGGCAGCAGUGGGGAAUAUUGGACAAUGGGGGGAACCCUGAUCCAGCCAUGCCGCGUGUGUGAAGGAGGCCUUAUGGUUGUAAAGCACUUUAAGCGAGGAGGAGGCUACUGAGACUAAUACUCUUGGAUAGUGGACGUUACUCGCAGAAUAAGCACCGGCUAACUCUGUGCCAGCAGCCGCGGUAACAC